rnacentral:misc_RNA from 1 species
UGAACGAUCGGGGGCAGGAUCCAAACUAAGGCACAUUGUGCCUUCUUUUGCCCCUGCCCUGUCUGAAUAUACCCAUGAUUUUGCGUACUAUUUGUUUCCUAGGUGGGCUUGCCCACCCACUGGACACUUAAAACCUUUUGUAAUUGCAGUCAGUGUCAGAAAAAUAUAAUCGUUACAACUUUCAACAACGGAUCUCUUGGUUCU